CAUUCUCGGUGGUAGUCGGUAACUGUUUUAUUUUAGUAUCAUUGAGAUACUAUUAUAGUUUUGAAUUAGUUUUUAUUUUUGGUCCUACCUAUUGUCUUUAUUGGGUUAGUUCACCCAGAAAUGAACAUUCUGUCUUUUAUUACUCACCCUCAUGUCGUUCCACAGCCAUAAGACCUUCGUUCAUCUUCAGAACACAAAUUAAGAUAUUUUUGAUGAAAUCUGAGAGCUUUCUGUCCCUCAGUAGCCGCUUUUCCACUGUCGAGCCAGGGCUUUCAGCGGGCCAGGCUAGGCUAAUAGCCCCGGACUUGUAGCACCGAGCCCAAAAUCACGCUGCAUUUCCACCGUCGGGCCAGAAGCUCCGCAGCGCUUCACUAAAACCCGCCCGUAACACGCCUCUCUGGAACAACGUCACACAAACCCGUCAUUUCACAAACAAAUGGAAGUUUUAUCAGAAAAAUAAUCAGAAAGAAAUCACUGGAAACUAGCGAGAUUGUGAAGUGAAUAUGAUAAAAGCAGGCGUUUGUUGGCAUUUUGUUGUUUACUUAAAGAUUUAAAAACCCAAGCAUCGAUGUUUUACGAAACAAAUUGAUCAUAAUGAAUUCAUUUGUGUCAAGAUUAAACAUUAGUCACAGAAAUAAAGUGGUAUUUACUGUUAUUUCACAAAAGAAAGAGGACACAUGCACUUAUUCAGUCGCGUCUGUUUCUGUUUAUAGUCAUGGGACAGUAUGUUUACAUCACAUUUACAAAGAAUGAUAUGAUAUGAUGAUUUCUACAAGUUUUCCACCAAAAACAUGACCUGAGGAGCUUUAGCACUCUCUCCAGUGACAGUCCCAACAGUUAGGCCUAUAUUUUCAGUCUGAGAAACAGAGGAAUCCCGAAAAACUGGAGUUGCUUUAUUUUAUGAAAUAUGCAGAGCUAAAUAUGGAUAUCAGACAGUCCGUUAAGAGACGAGACGUGCUGACAGAUAAAAUAAAUACAUGAUUGUGAUAGCCUACGUAUGUGAUUUGUCUGAUUUCUUCAAGCCGUCGUAUUUACCAUGCUUACUAUAGUAAUAGCGCGCAUAGUCUUGGUGAUCAGAAUCCACAUCAGAUCACAAACAGAAGUUAUUUCAAACAUUGUUAUUGCAACUUCCACUUUCAAGCCUCAGAAAGGUAGUAAAGACAUCAUUAAAGUAAUCAUGUGACUCCAGCGGUUUAACCUCAAUUUCAUGAGUGAUUUAUUUGCACAAAAAAAACGUAAUUUACUACUUUAUUUACAAAAGAUUAAUCUCCAGUGCGUGUUCAUGUAACAACCUCUGCUCUCGCGUCAACACAAACACUCUCGUGAACGCGCAUCAGAGAUUAAUAUUUUAUAAAGUGAUAAAUUGUUUUUUUUUGUGAAAACGUAGCACUCGUGUUUACGUUUUUAACUUUUUAAUGUAUUGGUUACACUUUGGUCACAAUUUUAAGGUGUCUGUGUUACAGUAUAAUUAUAAAUAAAUUUAAGUACUGAGUAAUAUUCAUUGACAGUAUGUACAUACUAUAGGGUUAGGGUAAUAAGGGUUGGUUUAGGGUUAGUUCGUUGUAAUUAUGCAUAAUUUUACUGUUAUUACUACAGUAAGUACAUGUAAUGUGUAACAAGGACACUAAAAAUAAAGUGUUACCUUUUAUUUCAUUUAAAGUUUUAUUUAAAGUAACAAGUUUUUUUUUUUUUUUUUGGUUAUAGUUAACUAUAAUAACUCUGGUCAGGUUUGCAACCCCUCUGUAAUGCAACAAAAUAAAUAAUAAUAACAAUAAAACAAUUUAAGUCAUUUUUUUUUUAAUAUUCAUGCACAGUCAGAGAGGUUCAAAUCACCGCAGAUAGACAACAUACAGUUUUACAAUUUGAUCCUAAAAAAUUGAAUAUUGUUUUCAUUUCCUAUUCUUUAAAUAUUAGCAUUCCCUCCACAAACCCAGUGGAACAGCCAGCCGUACAUCCAGAAUCACCAGCUGAACCCCUGCGUUCUUCUGCCGCAGCAUCCUCCAGAAUGAACAUGUAUACAGAUACAGGCGUCCUGCAGUCUUUAAAUGAUCAUCAAAAGAGUGAUGAGGCCUGUUACACCAAGAACAAUAACUAUAUCAGUGUUCACACCAGCACACAAUAUCCUUCUGUUCAUUAUCAGCGCUGCAGUUUUGUGUCUGUCUCUUUAAAUGCUGGAGCUCUUUAAAGCAGGAUGGAUUCUGAUUGGCUGUCAAAGUUUUUUCGUUCAUCAGCUGGAAAAAAAAUCCUCCUGAAAGUGAUUCCAGUGAUAUCGUGCCGUUAUGGUUAUAGCUUGUGUGAACACUGCUGUUCUAUUAUAUUGAGAAUGAUUUUUAGAGCUAUAUUGUUAUCGCUCUUGGUGUGAACGGCCCUUAAUAGUCUGCAAUGUUUGUGGAAGCAUUAACAUGUCAUGUGAUCUGUGUUUGUCCCAGGACUGUUUCUGUUCAUCGAAAGCUCUUUUGAGGUCUGAACAGACAGGGCAAAGCAGUCUGGGAAGCCCAUUAUUUUAGGCCUGAUAUGAGAGCUUAUUUGUAAAUUCAUUUGAUGUUCAUUUAUUUAUUAGGUUUUUUUUUAUAUAUUUGUAUAUAAUUUAGUUUUUUUGCAUAGGACAUUGUGCCAAAUGUGGAAGACACACAGUGAUGAAUGUGAGUGACAGCAGGGCGGAGGACGUUCAGUUAAAUCUGGAUAUGACUGUGGAGAGUUUCUGUGCGGGACAUGAAGAAUCACUGGAGCGAAUCCUCCAGACCGCUGAAGAAGAAGAAGCUGUAGAGUGACGUCCAACGCAAGAUGUUCACCAUCAUGACAUGAGACUUCACUGACUCUAGAGCAGCGACUGUGGCUGAAACCAGGAUGUAAAGGACCCAACGGCCUGAUGGUCCUCAGAUGAUGUAGUAGUUGCUGUGAAAGGCUUCAUCUAUGUUCCUGUCCUCGCUGCACACUGCUGCGUUCGGAGGAGGGCGUCCUCAAUCCCGCCUGCUACAGGAGCGUCUGCAUGAUCACCUGUGUGUGUGUGUGUGUGUGUGUGUGUGUGUGUGUGUGUGUGUGUGUGUGCGUGUGUGUACUCCUGAAUCAUAAGUACAUCCGCUGUCCCUGUCAAUUUUUACAGAAUGAUGUUUCUGAACAUAAGUAUAUCUGCAUCCUGACUCAAGCCACUGCUGUCAGAUGUGCACUUCUGAGGGACAAAACAUGUAAUAUGAUUAAUAUUGCAGCCGGCACUGCAAUCUUCUGGAGAUGCACAAAAUCAAAGUCAGGAAACACAAACCUGUUAGAACAUGCAGAAGUGGAGAAAUUAAUUUUUCUAUUAAGAUAUUUAUUUAAAGGAAGAACGGCUGGAAAAGUGUAAAGAAUUGAAAACAUGAAGUGUUUGUCAUGUUCUGACAAUAAAGAGUCAUUUAAAACUUUCACUGAGGAGCAAAAAUCUGCCUUUAAAUCUGAAAGAAAUAAAGAUUUGACAUUUAUAUAUUGACUGUUAUCGACUGAUAUGAACAUUUUUUUAGGCCACUUACAUUUGUUCUUUUUGCACUUUGUCUGAUCGUAUGAAGUCAUGAUGUUUUUCCUUUUUGUUAAUUUUGAUUUGUAUUAUUUAUUUCUGAAUUAAAUGCAUUUGAACACUUCUUGUAACAUGCAUUUUAACAAUACACACAGUGUAUUUUCAUUUCAUUUUAUUUGUGAUUCAGUUGAAUUAUUGAUUCCUUGAAUGAUUUGAAAUGAAAUGCUUGUUUUUGUUUGUUCUUUCUGUUAAACUGAAGCCCUGAAAUGGCAGAAUAACUAUGGGAAUUUGGAUCAUAAACUGAAUCCAGUCCUGAAGUGUGUGACGAUCCUGUGUUAAAUCAGUUCCCAGCAUCAGCAUGAGUUUAACAAACACUGGCAAGAACUGAAAGUCAUGGAGCUCAGCGAGGAAGACGUUAUUCCAGCAGAAUGCAGUCAGUUUGUUUGCUUCAGGAUUAGUCCAGAUUAUGAUAUAGUUGUAGGAAUCCUACAGGACUGAGUUUGAACAUUAAGGCACAAAAACAAACAUCCGUCACUGAACUGAACUCACGUGGACAGAUUCAAGGAGUCAAAUCAUCUUUUUAACAAUGCUGUGAUUUUGAAAAGCAUCAUGUGACACAACUGUCAGUGGCAGCACGAUUUCAGCAAUAAAAGAAGAAUAAUAAAAAUAUUAUUAUUCCCCCAUAUUAUAGAUAAAUAAUGAGCUAGAGGGGGAGGGGGGUAAUAAUAAAGUGCCCUUUCGUGGUGCCCCUGUCCCAGCUGACGUCUGUGAGCCGGUCAGAGGUCACCCUCCUCCCCCCCGCGGCUUCAAGCAGCUUUCAGUUGGUCAGUGCCGCGAAUUCCUGACCAACUUGAAAGCAGGGGAAAGCCGCUUGAAGCCGCUUUCUUUGGUCAGCUUUAGUGGCCGUUCACAUGACACGUCUUUUGUGCGCUUGGACGCAUCGUGAACGGCCACGUGGUAUUCUUUUUUGUUGUUUCUUCUGCUUGUUUUGAGGACCUUUUUCUUCACACUGGUGCUGUAUCAUUUUUGGGUGUCGUCACCUUCAAGCAGCUCUUGAAGGGCGACGCAGCAGGAGGACGUGUCCGCAGUCUUAGCAGUCUUACGACCCGUAUUUUGAGCCAAGUUUUUGCCUUUUGUUUAUAAUCAGGUUCAGGCUUUAUCAGCUCUUCAGCCCUAAACUGCAUCACUUCUUCCCUGUCCUUUCGCCACCUCUCCUUCAGGUUGAGCUUCUCUUUCCAGGUCAUCUUCUCUUUAGGCUCAUAACGCAGGUGAGUGUACCUCAUGUCUGGCCAGUGAACCCUCUUAACCUGAGGCUCCUCAGCAUGAUCUUCAGAGACUUCUGGAGGAGUGGGAGGGUGGCAAAGCUUCUGAAGGGUCUCUUUAGUCUCCUUCAGGCAGCUCUUUGUUGUCAGAACCGGGUCUGUCCUGAACGUGGGUCCAGCAGGCUCUGCUGGACUGCGGUUUGUAUUUCUUAUGUACUCAUACCAGGCGUUGUAAUACACAGGUGUUCUUGGCUUCUCUGUGUAUCGGUUUAGUGUCUUUUUCUCUGGUUGUUUAAGGCAGCUUUUCAGGGGCCCGAACAUGUAUUUAUGCUUUUUGGGAUUCUUUUCAGAUUGGUCAGCCCAGGUUACUGUCUUUGGCCCCGAUGUCUUGGCCAUUGGAGUUUCUAACCAUUCCCACCACCUCUGCUCCCCCCAUGGCAGGGGGAAGUAGUCGGGCUUUGGAACGUCAGUAAAGGGGAAAUAGCGGGGUCUCGGGUUUAACAAAUCGAAAUCCAUUUCACUUGCUAUACUCACCAAUCAGAGGAUAAUCAGAGAUGAGAUAAUCAGAUCACAAUGUUCGUCUUCUUUAGGCGUGUUACAGCAGUUGUUAAACCAGUAAAGAUGUGUGAACCUCGAGUCAGUCUGCGCUAUUUAUCCUGUUCUGGGCGUGGUCGCGUUCUAAGGCGUGACGUCACAAAGCCACGAGAGGCCGCCGCGACUGUGACGUCACAACGGCGCACCUGAUUAACCGCGUUUUGAACAAAAACUGGCCGAAUGAAUGAACACAGCACGACAAUAGCGACAAAUGCAAGUAAAACAGUGCAGAAUGAAAAGAUUGGGCCAAUAUUAUUAAAGGUGCUAUACAAACUAUAAUUAUUUGAGUUAUUAAUGUGUUUGCACAUUGUAUAUGUUGAUAAUUGUCCUCCUAACUUAAAAAGAUAAGCAAACUGUUUGUGUUUAUUGUUUAUUUGCGGACAUUCCUUGCUUAUAUUAAGCUUCUUUCACUGCUAUAAUAUAUAUUACACAUUUCAUUGCAUUUUAACGGAAUUUAAUGCGUUCAGUGAACUUGUCGUUUGACGCGCAAUAGCCGGUCUCCAUUUUGACACGAGCAGUUUCGCGCCGCGCUGACUGGAUUGAGAAGAAGGACUGAAAAUGGCGGUAAGACGUGUUCGUAAACAUGUUUAUUUCUUUCCUAGAUCGCUGAAACCGAAAUAUCUUGUGUUAUUCACAAACUCUGUCGCUUAAUUAUUACCAUAGUAUUACUACAGCUGUGUAGUUGACAAAUAUGCAGUAAAAAAGCAGUAUUUGUUUUUGUAAAACACCAUUUUUGAAGAAAAAAUACUUAUUUAUGUAGUGUGAAGUCUGAUGUUUGAGAAAAUAUAAGGGGUCAUUAACUUUGUCAGUUCUUUCACUUUUUUUUCAUGGUGUGACAACAAAAAUUAAUAAAAAAAAACAAAAAAAACACGUACCCCCGGUUUCACAGACAAGACUUAAGCUAACGUUAGUCCUAGACUAAAAUGCAUGUUUGAGCUGUUUUAACUGAAAUCAAUUUGUAGCCUACUGACAUAUCUUAAAAUAUGUCAGAGCCAUUGUUUUGUCUCAAGAUGCACACCAGUACUGUUUUUUUUUUCUUCUAAUGAGCCUUUAUAAAAGCCACUUAAAUGCCCUAAUUGAACUAAGGCCUAAUCCUGGUUUAGUCUAAGCUCUGUCUGUGAAACCAGGCCUUAAUAAUAUACAAACAGCAUGAGAGAGAUUUACCUUCAUUGAGAUUUAUCUUCAUUGUUUUCAGUAUGCUCGACUACAAAAGAGAUGUCAAAGCGCUUAUUGCCCUCACAUGACCGUUUAGAUGAAUUUAUUAAAGAAUACAUUACAUUACCUUCUCUAUCGUUUCUUUAACUCUGAAAUUAUUCAAACAAAGCCUUUUUCUCCUUACUUUUCCCUGUUAAAAUUAGGUAGUAUUGGCAACAACUAGAAAACGACGAAUAAUUUAAAGGUAAUGUCAUCUCUAAACUGGACUAAUUUGUCCAGUCACACUACAAGUGUGUUGUUUUAGUGAAGGUAGUUUUAGGCUUCAUGUCGGAAAAACAAUAGCCUGUGUCUUAUAUUUUUAUAUCGCUGACCCUGUUUUGUCUUAAAGUAAAUAGAGCAAAUGGAGUCGAUUCCGGAAGUCCUAUGCUGGGAUUAGACUCUGAAAAACCUGGAAUCGAAAAUCCUUCUGUUGCCAGAUUGGGUCGACAAUUUCCAGUCCAAAAGUAGGCCUGUCUCAACUACCCUUCAUGCGCAGAUACUCAGUCCAGCUAAGAUGAACACAGUGUCCACUGCCAGGUAUGUCAGGUUAAAUUGGUUCGUCAUUUGCUUUGUGAGCAGCAGAGGUUACACCAAGUGUGCCGCACAAGUCCUAAAAAAAAGUGAAGCGUUUCGAUUGCCCCCAGGUUGCUGGAUGCAGUGUAGGUCAUAACGUUCGAUUCAAAACCAAGGAGAAACAAGGUUUGUUUAUGAUCGUAAAGUAGACUUAUGUGUGUUCUAUUCUAUACAUAUUGUUUUAAUUUACUGUUGUGUAUGCUUUAUUAAAGGGUGGAGAUGUGACCCAGGAGGAAAAAGGAGAAGAGCUGCUUCAGCAGGAGGAAGAGGAGGAUCAUGGGUUCACAGAAGACAGAACACCAGCAAUAGCAGCACAUACAGCUCUUGAGGUGCUCUUCAAAGACGAAGACCAGGCUCUGCUGAAAACAGUGAAGAUAAACGUCACUGAAAAGACCAAAAAAGAGGUACAGGUGUACCAGAGCUUCCCGGCAGUCCUAAGUUCAGCGGAUCCUAUCCGGUGGUGGAGGCAGAAGAGGGACCAAUGCUGGCCAGCAUCUCUGUGUCCAGGCCUCUUCUACGACCUCAGAGCGGGAAAAAACCCUGUUGGGCACUGAAUUUCAGUGUGCUCCAUCCUGCUGUUCAGAGCUUCAUGGAUUGAAUGGAAAACGGUCAACACGGCGGAGGGGGCAGGAUUCAGACUGAUGAUGAAUGACAAAAGAACCUUCAUACACUUCAUCCACUACACGAGAUUGAUUAUAAAUCCUUGUGUGAUUGGAGCGCAGGAAGAACAGCUGGGCCUCAAGUCUGUAAAUAAAUCAUUUGAAAGCUAAAGAAUGCAUGAAUUAAUCAGGAACCAAAAUUAAAUAAAAUUAAAAUGCAGA